rnacentral:rRNA from 1 species
GACGAACGCUGGCGGCGUGCUUAACACAUGCAAGUCGAGCGAGGUUCAACCGGUGGCAACACCGGGGGCAGACCGAGCGGCGAACGGGUGAGUAACACGUGAGCAACCUGUCCCGGAGACUGGGGAUAACACCGGGAAACCGGUGCUAAUACCGGAUACCCCCACCGAGUCGCAUGGCUUGGUGAGGAAAGACUGAGUCUAAUAAAUUCAGUUCGCUUCGGGGAGGGGCUCGCGGGGCUAUCAGCNGUUUGGUGAGGUAAUGGCUCACCAAGGCGACGACGGCUCGCUGGUCUGAGAGGACGACCAGCCACACUGGGACUGAGACACGGG